CCGCCAUGGCUCUCAAGCGCGUCUUCUUGCUGCGGUCGGUGGCACCACGCGUCGCUGCCCUCUCAACCAAACCGCAAGCCCAGGAACAGCCUCCCGCGAGCCCUGAGGCUCUUCGGGGAUGUGGGGCGGCCAAGGCUGUGCGGCCGCCUGUGCCAGCCGUGGACUUCACCAACACGCAGGAGGCGUAUCGCAGCCGGCGGAGUUGGGAGUUGGUGCGCAACCUGCUAGUGCUGCGGCUGUGUGCGUCGCCGGUGCUGCUAGCGCACCACGAGCAGUUGUUCCAAGUUGCCAGGAAGCUUCUGGGGCAAAGGAUGUUCGAGAGAUUGAUGAAGAUGACCUUCUAUGGCCAUUUUGUGGCUGGCGAGGACCAGGAGUCUAUCAGGCCUCUGAUCCGGCACAACAAAGCCUUUGGUGUUGGCUUUAUCCUGGACUAUGGAGUGGAGGAAGAUCUGAGCCCUGAGGAGGCGGAGCGCAAAGAGAUGGAGUCAUGCACUUCUGAAGCAGAGAGAGAUGGCAGUGGAGCAAAUAAGAGGGAGAAGCAGUAUCAGGUGCACCCCGCCUUUGGAGACCGCAGAGAUGGUGUCAUCAGUGCCCGCACCUACUUCUAUGCCAAUGAAGCCAAGUGUGACAACUACAUGGAGAACUUACUGCAGUGCAUCAAGGCCUCAGGUGGAGCCAGUGAUGGUGGUUUCUCAGCCAUUAAGCUCACUGCACUGGGGAGACCACAGUUUCUGCUGCAGUUCUCAGACGUGCUGACCAGGUGGAGACGGUUCUUCCAUCAAAUGGCUGCAGAGCAGGGACAGGCUGGGCGUGCUGCUGUAGACACAAAGCUGGAGGUGGCGGUGCUCCAGCAUCGCAAAGAUGGGCAUCGCAUCCAGGGCUGAGAUUGAAGGGUGGUUCACGCCAGAGACGCUGGGAGUGUCUGGCACCGUGGACUUGCUGGACUGGAACAGCCUCAUUGACAGCAGGACCCGGCUCUCCAGGCACUUGGUGGUCCCCAAUGUGCAGACUGGCCAGCUGGAGCCCCUGCUGUCACGGUUCACUGAGGAGGAAGAGCAGCAGAUGAAAAGGAUGCUGCAGAGGAUGGAUGUACUGGCCAAGAAAGCAAAAGAGGCAGGUGUGCGCCUGAUGAUUGAUGCUGAGCAGAGCUACUUCCAACCAGCCAUCAGCCGCCUGACCCUGGAGAUGCAGCGCAGGUUCAAUGUGGAUAAGCCGUUCAUCUUCAACACAUUCCAGUGCUACCUCAAGGAUGCCUAUGACAAUGUGACCUUGGAUAUGGAACUGGCUCGCCGUGAGGGCUGGUGUUUUGGGGCCAAGCUGGUACGUGGUGCAUACAUGGCCCAAGAGCGUGUCAGGGCAGCAGAGAUCGGUUAUGAGGACCCCAUCAACCCUACAUAUGAAGCCACCAAUGCUAUGUACCACAGAGCCAACAGGGGUUCACGUAGUGGUUGGCCUGGAGCCAAGCUUAGGUAGGACUGUCCCUGUCCCAGGUGCCUUAACUAUGUUCUGGAGGAGCUGAAGCACAGCACCAAGGCAGAGGUGAUGGUGGCUUCCCACAACGAGGACACCGUGCACUUCACGUUGUGCAGGAUGAAGGAGAUAGGCCUGCAUCCUGCUGAUGGUCAGGUGUGCUUCGGACAGCUGCUGGGGAUGUGUGACCAAAUCAGCUUCCCACUAGGCCAGGCAGGCUUUCCUGUGUACAAGUAUGUGCCCUAUGGCCCUGUGAUGGAGGUACUCCCUUACCUGUCCCGCCGUGCCCUGGAGAACAGCAGCAUCAUGAAGGGUGCUCAGCGAGAGAGGCAGCUGCUAUGGCAGGAGCUCCGCAGGCGGCUGCGCACUGGCAGCCUCUUCCACCAUCCGGCCUAGUCACCGCAGGAGCCUUGCCCACCCGCUCGUACUCCACUCAACCCCUUACCUCUGGGGCUUCAGGCGGGGCACAGCUUGGGAUUGGGCUGGGGUUCCUUAGCCCAACCUGCCCAGACACAGUUCACCUUUUUAUGCCCAAGGCUUUUUAUGCCCAAGGCGGGAUUUCAUCAGUGGACAGCUCCUGAGGAACAGUGCCCAAGAUGGUCGUCUGGUCACAGAGGCUGCCCUCUGGGACUUCCUGUACCCCAAGGAACAGACACUCAGGAGUGGGGUCAGCUAGAGCCCCUGGGAGCUGCCCCACUAAUCUGAGUAAGCACUGACCACCUCUGCAGGUUACAGAGCCCUAGUCCAGGAUUAACCUUCUGCCAGGGUCUAACCCAUCUUCCCUGCACUGGGCAGAGGACAGACUAGGAAGCCUGUUUAGUCAAUAAAUCAUCCUGUAACAGA